CUUGUCCGAGAAGCCCCUGAGGGCACGUCUGGACCCAGGAGUGGCUGCGACUUCCUUUCAGAGAGGGAAGGGGUGGCAUGCCUUCCCCUCGGGUUCCAGAACAUUCCUGACCAGAGUCCCUGCUGUUCCUGAGACACUGCUGUGCACCUGGGGCUGGUGCCCACCUUUCCAGGGGUAGGAGGAGCUUGGGCCUGCAGCGUCCACACCUGCCGCGUAUCACACCUCAAGGGUGCUGAGGUCCCUGUCCUGGCAGCCCUGGGCUCUCACUUGUCCCCUGCCCUCAUGGGGAAGUGGGAGGGCAGAACUGGUGCCCACCCUACCCGGCCCACGAGGCACCCACAGGCAAACGGUCCUGCUCCCUAAUCGGAGCUCCAGGGCCAGCCGGCCAAGCCUCCCAGAUAAGAGCGUGGCUGGCAUUUCCCGUGGCGGCCGCCCCUUCUGGGUAUGGGUAUCACACACUGCCAGAGAGGGCUGGCUCUGAUAAAGGUGGCCGUUCCACUCGCCCAGGGGCAGAACCCACCACUCAGGGAUGGCCGGGGGCUGGGCGAGGGGCCUCCAAGGAGUCCAGGGAUCGGAGGGGUGUGGGGCUGGGGACCAGGGCAAUGGUCACCAUGACAACCCAUCUCCCUGGACCAGGGUUCAGGAUGCGUCUCCAAGGGGCUGUGCACGGGAAAGGUGCCUCUUGGGGGUGGAUGCAGGUGCCUGGAUUGGUAAGGGGAGCAUGGCUGAUCUUAGCCCCAGCUCACCCCAGGUGCCCUUGUGCAGCAUUCGACCUGUGCAACUGAACAUAGAGGCCGUGGUGGUUCUCAACGCUCUUCUGCUCACAUAACCUAUUUCCAGCCCUGUUCCUGCAGAGACCCUCUCCCAACCGGAAGUAAAAUCGCAUUGGAAAGUGGGGGUGGGUGAGGCCUCCUACUCCUGGCAGAUGGGGUGCCUCCUGAGGACUUGGCUCAAGGCUGAGAAUGGAUGGAAGUGUCCGUGAGUGAGGCUCCAGAACAACUGGGUGAGCCCAGCAGAGAUGCCAGCUCCGGCCAGGUUGUCUCUGCAGCUGAAGAAUGGGGACGCUAGCUGUGGCUCCCAAAAACCCACGAACCCAACAUGAGUGCCCGCCCCACGGACCCAACUGAGUACCUGCCCCACGGACCGAGCCUCAGCCAGGCCCAGCAGGACUUGUGAGGAUUCUUUCCAGCUGUGCUCAAGUUACUCCUCCCAACGUACAUGGGGGAGACAGAUCCGAGAGGUUAAGCAACUGGCCCAAGGCUGCCCAGAUGGGCUGAGAAGCUGCACCAGGUGGGCAUCCUAAGGCCUGGGGCCCAGCCCAGGGCUGCCCCCUGGGACUUGGCCUUCACCCCUGGGCUCUGGCUCUGCCCCCGAGGCCCCAGAGGCCCCUGUCGCCUCCCUCAACAACGUGGCCAACAGUGCCCAGCGCAGGAACCGUGGCCCCCUCCGUGACGCGCGUGUGGCAGCAAGCCGGUAGAGGAGCGUCUGCUCCCAUCCCACAGGCCCAGAGACUCCAGCAAGCAGCUGGGGGUCACAUAGCAGGGAGGGCAGUUGCUCCCGAGACCAGACCCUGAAGCUGCUCUCUGACAGAGGAUCCAAGGCUACACCCAGGGUCUUCUGCCUCCUGAACCCACUCUGCUCAGUCGCCCGCCUCCCUGGGCCUGUUUCUCCACCUGCUCCUGAACCCACUCUGCUCAGCCGCCCGCCUCCCCAGGCCUGUUUCUCCACCUGAGCCCUGGCCCUGGCAGGCUGGCUCACAGCUCUGACUUGAGGAGGCAGGUGAAGGCGUCACCCUCCUCAGUAGCAGGCCCUGGCUCUGUGUGCUGCAGCCACCUACGGGAGGCAGAGCCCUGGUUCCCAGGAUUCACCAACCAGGGCCCACGGCAGGCACCGAAGGCCACAUCUGGGAGAGGUUCAGAGUGAGCGUCGGGAUGGGCCUGUGCCCAGGAGAGACCAGGGGAACCCACGUGGAGCCCAAGGCCUGUGGUUGGACUCUGUGGCCUGCUCUGCAGCCACGGAAGCCUCUUGGGCAGUAGAAAGGGUGGUCCUGUGUGGAUGUCAUGGCCUCCUUCACAUGUGAUCCUCCCAAGAUCUGGCUGGGAACAAACCCAAGCCUGGUGAGAAAUGCAUGGGGGACGAGGCUGGGGGUCCAACAACUUCUUUUCUUUCUUUUUUUUUGAGACAGAAUCUUGCACUGUCACCCAGCCUGGAGUGCAGCGGUGCAAUCUCGGCUCACUGCAGCCUCCGCCUCCCGGGUUCAAGCGAUUCUCCCAUCUCAGCCUCCUGAGUAGCUGGGAGUACAGAUAGGAGUCGCCGAGCGGAGCAGGCAGAAGGCCACCUGGAAAGGCCAGCAGGACCGUAGCCCUCACUCGCAGCAGUGGCCCCGGCUGUGGCACUCGGGACAGCCGAGAUGGAAGGAACAACGUGACAUGCGCUAGCGAGAAGGGAGACGGAGCCGCAGGCGGAUGAGACGCGGGUGACGGGAGCCAUGGAUGCACCAGAGCUUGGAGACAAAGCCACUCGAGGGCUCUGCAGAUUAGCCUGGCUUCUGGGGGCCUGAUGAGGGCUCCCACCCUGCCUCCUCCUGGGUCCCCCCAGCGCCCCUCAGAGGGUCCAGGUCCUUGCAGGAGGGCUGGGUCUGGGAGAGGCGCAGAGGAGCCUGGGAGCUGCACACCCAGGAUGGGUAGAGAAAUGGAUCAGCUUUGCUGUUGAAAAACCAGAUGUCACAUACGUCUGGGCCCUCUGGCCACACUGGGGAAAUGGCUCUGCUCCUCAGAGCUGUGCCCCGUGCACACCCAGUGAUGGCCACCACUCUGCGGACGCACACUCAGUGCACAACCUGCCCUGCCCGCCCGCCCCCAUUCAGUCCUUUCUGGAUUAUUCUGUGUUAUUGUGUGCCCAGCAUUGCAGUUAAGCCCCAGCACAAGACCUGAGUCUAUUUCACUGAGGGGAAACAAAGGAGGGGCCUGCCUAAGGCCCCCCAGCGCCCUGCCCUAG